ACAUUUAUCUGGCGCCGAGGAUACCGUGAUCGUAAAGGCGGUUCUUCAGGGUGAGGCUUUUCUAUUGAACUUCGGUCGAGCUGAUGUCUAUGAAUAUUCCUGUGGAUAUCUCAGGCGUAAUAUUUUUGUUGGAUACUUCGUUUGUGCUCUC